rnacentral:rRNA from 1 species
GUGAGGAAUAUUGCGCAAUGUCCGAAAGGGUGACGCAGCGACGCCGCGUGGAGGAUGAAGGCCCUAUGGGUCGUAAACUCCUUUUGAGGGGGAAGAAUAGCCUGCUAUAGGCGGGCUUGACGGUACCCCUCGAAUAAGCACCGGCUAACUACGUGCCAGCAGCCGCGGUAAUACGUAGGGUGCGAGCGUUGUCCGGAUUCACUGGGUGUAAAGGGAGCGCAGGCGGGUUGGCAAGUCAUUGGUGAAAUUCUCAGGCUCAACUUGAGAACGUACAAUGAUACUGCUGAUCUUGAGUGCGGAAGAGAAAGACGGAAUUCCUGGUGUAGCGGUGAAAUGCGUAGAUAUCAGGAAGAACACCGGUGGCGAAGGCGGUCUUUUGGUCCGUUACUGACGCUCAUGCUCGAAAGCGUGGGGAGCAAACAGGAUUAGAAACCCCAGUAGUCC